UUUUAUUUAAGCUAUUUGCAGCUUCUUACUAUUUUCAUACACGGAGUUUUUCAUCAUAAACGUCAGAAUUCUCCCUGUUUAAAUUUAGUCAACGUUCCAUUUUAACUUAAAUGUUUUUACAAUGAUUUGAAAAAAUAUCACGUAUUAAUUCUAAAUUAAGUAUUUAUAAAACUAUAAUUGAAUACAAUCGAUCAUCUUCACUUAUUGGUAGUAAAUAUACGACUCCCGACUAAAGUGCUGUACGCCUGUAAAAUUCGUAUCAACAAAAAAAACUGA